rnacentral:rRNA from 1 species
UACGUAGGGGGCAAGCGUUGUCCGGAUUUAUUGGGCGUAAAGAGCGUGUAGGCGGCCAUACAGGUCAGCUGUGAAAACUCGAGGCUCAACCUCGAGACGUCGGUUGAAACCGUAUGGCUAGAGUCCGGAAGAGGAGAGUGGAAUUCCCGGUGUAGCGGUGAAAUGCGCAGAUAUCAGGAGGAACACCGAUGGCGAAGGCAGGUCUCUGGGCCGAUACUGACGCUGAGGAGCGAAAGCGUGGGGAGCGAACAGG